GAUGAACGCUGGCGGCGUGCCUAAUACAUGCAAGUCGAGCGAACAGAUAAGGAGCUUUCUCCUUUGACGUUAGCGGCGGACGGGUGAGUAACACGUGGGUAACCUACCUCUAAGACUGGGAUAACUUCGGGAAACCGGAGACAAUACCGGCUCAUAUUUCGAACCGCAUGGUUCGAUAGUGCAAGAUGGUUUUGCUGUCACUUAUAGAUGGACCCGCGCCGGAUUAGCUAGUUGGUAAGGUAACGGCUUACCAAGGCGACGAUACGUAGCCGACCUGAGAGGGUGAUCGGCCACACUGGAACUGAGACACGGUCCAGACUCCUACGGGAGGCAGCAGUAGGGAAUCUUCCGCAAUGGGCGAAAGCCUGACGGAGCAACGCCGCGUGAGUGAUGAAGGUCUUCGGAUCGUAAAGCUCUGUUAUUAGGGAAGAACAGACGUGUAAGUAACUGUGCACGUCUUGACGGUACCUAAUCAGAAAGCCACGGCUAACUACGUG
rnacentral:rRNA from 1 species